CCCCUUAUGUGGUAAAGGGCGUCCACCCAUGUCAAGACAUCAUAAAGUGGAGUGUUCGUUAAUUUGCUAAUACCAAGAGACGUGCAAGCUUGCCAACAGAUUCUACCUCAGGGUCUUCAAUCAUUAAGACGAAAAGUGUAACAAACUGACCACUCUCCGCAACGCCGGCCACCGGGCUCCCUCCCCCAGAGUAAACACCGGCCCCGAUGCUGUCACAUCCUGCCUGAACAUUUGCAAGUAAAUUAGUAGAUCAGUGAUCUCCAGGAGGAUUCAAGCGGGC